AUUGAACGCUGGCGGCAGGCCUAACACAUGCAAGUCGAGCGGAUGAAGGGAGCUUGCUCCUGGAUUCAGCGGCGGACGGGUGAGUAAUGCCUAGGAAUCUGCCUGGUAGUGGGGGAUAACGUCCGGAAACGGGCGCUAAUACCGCAUACGUCCUGAGGGAGAAAGUGGGGGAUCUUCGGACCUCACGCUAUCAGAUGAGCCUAGGUCGGAUUAGCUAGUUGGUGGGGUAAAGGCCUACCAAGGCGACGAUCCGUAACUGGUCUGAGAGGAUGAUCAGUCACGGUGGAAGUGAGACACGGUCCAGACUCCUACGGGAGGCAGCAGUGGGGAAUAUUGGACAAUGGGCAAAAGUCGGAUCGAGCCAUGCGGCGUGGGUAAGGAAGGUCUUCGAAUUGUAAAGUACUUUAAGUUGGGAGGAAGGGAAGUAAGUUAGUAACUUCCUGUAUGGACGUUAGCAACAGAGUAAGCAACGGCUAACUUCGUG
rnacentral:rRNA from 1 species